rnacentral:rRNA from 1 species
UACGUAGGGGGCAAGCGUUGUCCGGAAUCAUUGGGCGUAAAGAGCGUGUAGGCGGCCCGAUAAGUCCGCCGUGAAAGUCCAGGGCUCAACCCUGGGAUGCCGGUGGAAACUGUCGGGCUAGAGUCCGGAAGAGGCGAGUGGAAUUCCUGGUGUAGCGGUGAAAUGCGCAGAUAUCAGGAGGAACACCGAUAGCGAAGGCAGCUCGCUGGGACGGUACUGACGCUGAGGCGCGAAAGCGUGGGGAGCGAACAGG